rnacentral:lncRNA from 12 species
UCCUCUUUUUGUUUCCCCUUCCCUUCCCUCCCACCCGUCAUUCCCUCACCAUCUUUAUGCUUUAGGGUCAAUAUUCCUGAGGGAAGGGAGGAGUCGAGCAGUCAAAGCAACAAGUGAAGUUUGGUUGCCCGGUGUGGAGGCAACGGGCCAGGGUCAGGUGCCAGGGCUGCACACCGAUGGGAAAGGUGCAACAUCACAGCAUCGCAGCAAGUCUUCCAGGCCUGUCUGCAGCUCUUCCUGUAAGCAGAGGCCUUUUCCUGUGUUUGAACUCACCACCAAUGGCUGUCCUACCAAAGGCUGCCUUCUAUUCACUGACAGCUGCUUUGAACAUCAGUCGUAUCAGGUCAUCUGCCAAGCUGUGCGCCUCUGGUCACAUCGCUCGGAGGUCUCUGGGUUGUCAGCUUCAAAGCGCCUCACAAGUGGGUGACUUGCCUCCUUCGUGGAUGAGUGUUAAAAGAAGGGGAAGCCUGGAAAAACCUCGUGACACCUCUGGAAUUAAGGCUGGAAGCUUCUAUCUCAUUUUGCAGAAGAAGAAAUCAGGACUGCCUGGGUGGGUCAGUCAGUUGAGUAUUGGACUCUUGGUUUCUGCUCUGGUCACGAUCUUGGGGUCGUGGAAUCGAGCCCCACACUGGGCUUCGCACUCAGUACACUCAGUACGGAGUUGGAGUCACUUGAGAGAUGCUCUCUCUUCCUGUUCCUCACCCUGGUUUGUGCUUCUCUCUCAAAUAAAUAAAAUCUUUAAAGAGAGAGAGAGAGAAGAAAUGAGGACCAAAGGAGAGCAGUGAAGCCUACUUGCCAGGCCUUGUGGCCAGAAAGUGGAAGGAUGGCGAGCCAGGUCUCCUCAUGUCUUGUCCCAAGGGGUUCUUCUUGGUCCUUGCAUUUAAAACCAUGUUUCUCAAGGAGUCUUAGCCUCCUCGAAGGCACCUCAGCGAUGAUGACCCUCAAGAGGGGAUAGGGGAAGGAAGGGCGAAGGAGAAUGCCUCCUAAUGGGUGGUACGCCACUCUCCCUUCUAAUGCAGCUUCUUUUCUUUGGUCUCAUUCAUUCGUUCACCCAUUCAUUCAUUGAACCAAUGUCUACCGAGCAAUUUCUGUGUGCCAGGCAACUUCUAGACGCUGGAGAUGUAAGAAUGAACUCACAAAGUCUGGGUUCCCAUGAAAUUGGUUAUCUGUUGUCUGUACUAGUCUCUGAGUUAAGAUUUUUUUAGUAAAGUGGUUAAUUCUUUUUUUUCUUUAAAAAACUAUUUCCCGUAUCUAGGUUUCAAAGCAUCAACUGAUAUUCAUCAAACACUUGCAACAUCAAGUGGAGAUUUUGCUGCUACAUGUGACAAAUUAGCUGCUGGUCUUCCAACUACUGACAAUUUGAAAUCAAUCCCCAAAAAAGACACCUAAAAGGAGAACUUGCCCCAGACAGCAUCAUCUCCACUCAGUGACAGAUGUAGGAGAGAAAUAAGGAAAUGAAUCAAUGGUACAGAUGGUGAGCUGAGCUCUUAGAGUCUGUUACAUCCACACCAGGGGUCACUAGGAGAUUCUCUUCUCAGCUAUUCCAGGCCAAGUGCAGUCAGUAUGUGACUACAUUAAAGUUGCCCCCCUUUGUCUGGUGGUGGGGUGGAUGUGGGUGUAGCAGUUAGUAGCCUUGUUGACUUUGACUCAAACUGUGACUGCCACCAGCAAAUAUUCCCACAUGGGGUUUUGGGUUUGAAAAGUUAAGGCCAAAAGUAAACCAGCAGCCUCUCCGGUGCUAAUGUAUUGAUUAUUUUUCAGGGUGUAACAAAUUUCCCCCAAACC